GCAUGGGUUUGGAUUUCUGAUGGGCCUACACGUGUGGCCCUGUCAUAGAGCCCCAUGCCAGAGCAAACUGGCCCCGAACCAUUGCCUGGCCUCUGCCUAUAGGCUGCUGGCACUGAAGUGGGUCGCACAGUA